rnacentral:rRNA from 1 species
UACCAGCACCCCGAGUGGUCGGGACGAUUAUUGGGCCUAAAGCAUCCGUAGCCGGUCCUACAAGUCUUCCGUUAAAUCCACCUGCUUAACAGAUGGGCUGCGGAAGAUACUAUAGGGCUAGGAGGCGGGAGAGGCAAGCGGUAACUCAGUGGGUAGGGGUAAAAUCCUCUGAUCCAUUGAAGACCACCAGUGGCGAAGGCGGCUUGCCAGAACGCGCUCGACGGUGAGGGAUGAA